AAUCAGAUAUGGCAUAAUAUUUAUGCCUUUCUGCCCACCAACAGAUGCCGUACAAUGUUAUAUUUUCAUUUUAAUUCCUAGUUUUUGUGGCUGACGUCUUAGGCGUGAAUUAAGGUCAAAGGUGACGAGCUCACAGUCAAUCUGCAUGUAAUCACCAAACCUUUCCAUGUUUGAGCACCUGUCUCUCACUCUAAUCUGUGUUCUUGUAUCCCAUCCAAUUUAGCCUUUGUCCAGGUCUAAUCGAUGAUGAAUCUGUGGUAAAAUGGCCAUGAUAAGGGGCUAAAGACGCUCUCAACACAACCCAGCCCCCCACUCCCCCGUUAGCACCACACACAGGGUUUUUAGAGAUAACAAUCAGGGGUAAUGACAGGCAAGUUCGUGGGGGGGGGGGGGGGGCUUGUAGCGGUUUGAAGGGGUCUUAGUUCAGUAAUGACUUCUCUACCACCCCCUUCAUCUUUAACAGCACAGCAAUUAGCCAAUGAUACAGAGGUAGCCAGUGAUUUCUGGAGUUUCGAACAAUUGAACUCAUGUUUGAACAGCUCUCAGCUGGUAUGUUGUGAAUUUAUUGGAUCGCAUCGUUCGGUCUGCGCCUGGCAGCUUAUGUUGUAUGUUUUGAAUGUUCAUUGCCUAUGAAAAUGUCUUAGGAUUCUUAAUUGUUUUGAUACGGAAGCACCAAUAAAAGCAUUUCAUAACACUU